rnacentral:rRNA from 1 species
AAUGAACGCUGGCGGCGUGGAUUAGGCAUGCAAGUCGGACGAGAACGUUACUUCGGUAACUAGUAAAGUGGCGAAAGGGUUAGUAAUACAUGGAUAACCUACCCUUCAGACGGGGAUAACUCGAUGAAAAUCGAACUAAUACCCGAUGAUAUCUUUAUCUUCGGAUUAAAGAUCAAACGGUGCUCUUAGGAGUUCUGCUGAAGGAGGGGUUCAUGGCCUACUAGUUUGUUGGUGGGGUAAAGGCCUACCAAGACUAUGAUGGGUAGCCGGACUGAGAGGUCGAUCGGCAACACUGGAACUGAGACACUGUCCAG